CAGGAGGACUACACAGCUGUCCUGGGGUUAUACAGGGAAAAAAUCAGAAUGACCAAAGCCUGACUGGAUGAUGACAAGAGGAUUGAGGGCACCCUCAGUCAGUUUGCUGAUGACACCAAAUUAGGUAACAAUCAAUAGAACAAGAGGAAACGGACUCAGGUUGUGCCAGGGGAGGUUUGGAAUGGAUAUUAGGAAAAAUUUCUUCUGCAAAGGGUGAAUGCGAAGCACUUGAACAGUCUUCCCAGGAAAGUCAUGGAAAUGAAAGCUAAGCAGCACAAGGCUUACAGCACUGAGCACAGCUGUGCACUGAGCUGCAUAGAUCAAGCAAGCUACUGUAUUUAUGACAGUGCUCUUCUUUUCUCUGUUGCCAAAAGAGUGGUCAGAUGAAGCACAGCAAUUUGCACUGCUGACAUCUAUUAUCACAGUAUUUUUAUAUUUUUGGCCACACUCUGAAAAUAAAUUCAUCUGCCCAAUGCCAUUA